CGGCGGGGUAACGGCCCACCGUGGCGACGAUGGGUAGCCGGCCUGAGAGGGUGGACGGCCACAUUGGAACUGAGACACGGUCCAGACUCCUACGGGAGGCAGCAGCUAAGAAUCUUCCGCAAUGGGCGAAAGCCUGACGGAGCGACGCCGCGUGAACGAAGAAGGCCGUGAGGUUGUAAAGUUCUUUUCGGGAGGGGGAACAACCGUGGCAGGGAAUGGCCGCGGGAUGACGUGAAUCCCGGAAUAAGCCCCGGCUAACUACGUGCCAGCAGCCGCGGUAACACGUAGGGGGCGAGCGUUGUUCGGAAUCAUUGGGCGUAAAGGGCGAGCAGGCGGUCCUGCAAGUCCGGCGUGAAAGACCCCGGCCCAACCGGGGGGACGCGCUGGAAACUGCGGGGCUUGAGUACAGGAGGGGAUGCCGGAAUUCCAGGUGUAGGGGUGAAAUCUGUAGAUAUCUGGAAGAACACCAAUGGCGAAGGCAGGCAUCUGGCCAUGUACUGACGCUGAGACGCGAAGGUGCGGGGAGCAAACAGGUUUAGAU
rnacentral:rRNA from 1 species